GACGUAGGGCGCGAGCGUUGUCCGGAUUUAUUGGGCGUAAAGAGCUCGUAGGCGGCUUGUCGCGUCGACUGUGAAACCCGUGGCUCAACUGCGGGCCUGCAGUCGAUACGGGCAGGCUAGAGUUCGGUAGGGGAGACUGGAAUUCCUGGUGUAGCGGUGAAAUGCGGCAGAUAUCAGGAGGAACACCGGUGGCGAAGGCGGGUCUCUGGGCCGAUACUGACGCUGAGGAGCGAAAGCGUGGGGAGCGAACAGG
rnacentral:rRNA from 1 species